rnacentral:misc_RNA from 1 species
CCGUCAAUUCAUUUAAGUUUUAACCUUGCGGCCGUAGUCCCCAGGCGGUAGACUUACCGCGUUCGCUCCGGCACCGAUGGCUUUUACCCCACCAACACCUAGUCUACAUCGUUUACAGCUAGGACUACCGGGGUGUCUAAUCCCGUUCGCUCCCCUAGCUUUCGCUCCUCAGCGUCAGGCACGGCCCAGGAGGCCGCCUUCGCCUCUGGUGUUCCUCCCGAUAUCUACGCAUUUCACCACUACACCGGGAAUUCCACCUCCCUCUGCCGCCCUCUAGUUGGGUAGUUUUGUACGUCCUCUCCCAGUUGAGCCGGAAGCUUUCACAUCCAACUUGCCCAACCGCCUGCUCGCUCUUUACGCCCAGUGAAUUCGGAUAACGCUCGGUUCCUACGUUUUACCG